GAUGAACGCUGGCGGCGUGCCUAAUACAUGCAAGUCGAGCGAACAGACGAGGAGCUUGCUCCUCUGACGUUAGCGGCGGACGGGUGAGUAACACGUGGAUAACCUACAUAUAAGACUGGGAUAACUUUGGGAAACCGGAGCUAAUACCGGAUAAUAUAUUGAACCGCAUGGUUCAAUAGUGAAAGACGGUUUUGCUGUCACUUAUAGAUGGAUCCGCGCCGCAUUAGCUAGUUGGUAAGGUAACGGCUUACCAAGGCGACGAUGCGUAGCCGACCUGAGAGGGUGAUCGACCACACUGGAACUGAGACACGGUCCAGACUCCUACGGGAGGCAGCAGUAGGGAAUCUUCCGCAAUGGGCGAAAGCCUGACGGAGCAACGCCGCGUGAGUGAUGAAGGUCUUCGGAUCGUAAAACUCUUUUAUUAGGGAAGAACAAAUGUGUAAGUAACUAUGCACGUCUUGACGGUACCUAAUCAGAAAGCCACGGCUAACUACGUG
rnacentral:rRNA from 1 species